AUAUAAUUUUAAAUUCUUAUCUCGAAUGAAAUCACUUUGAGCGGAUAAAAAAAAAAAUUUUUUCAUUUGUUAAAUUUUCCAUCGAUUUAUCUCUAUAUAUUUGAUCUUAUAAAAUUUCAAUAAAAUUUUAAACUCAUUUUCGUCAUUCAUCCUCUCGUUCGAUUAAUUAUUUUAAUAAUAAUAAUCUUUCAAGAGAUCGAGCUCGAGAGAUUUGAAAUACUCUUAAAUAAACUUUGACGUGAAGUAAAAAUGGCAUUUACAAACAAAUGGAAGAGAUUAAGAGAUAAUUGUUAAUUUCCGAUUGAUCGUGGAUGUUUUCCAUAACGACGAAUUAUAUACGCAAGAAUAAAAAAAAAAAGAAAAAAAAAAUCGCAUUCCACGAAUAUUUACAUAUUUAUUAACAACAGCGCGCAGCUGGCUCGUAAACACGAGCUUAUUCCUUUGGUCCAAAGAACGGUCGUUUCGAGUUACAACUGCGAAACCAGUUUCACCGAUCGUGGAUAAAAACAAACAAUAUUAUUUGUCCCUAACAUUUUCGUUGAAUUACACAACGUGACAAGUGAACAAACAUCAAGUUAAUACCGGUGGUUUAUUUUUUUAAUUAACAAUAACCUUCUAAGUGCAUCUUGUGUUGUAUCAUUUAAAUAUAUGCAAUGCUAAUACAUACAUAUGUACCAACCGAGUAAAUACGACCUCUAUGAUAAAUCAAUCGCGUUACAAUAAUAUUGAAGCUACAAUAAUAUUCUUAGCUACAAAUAAUAAUAACAAUGAUUUAUAUACAGAUCGAAUAUCGAUAUAUCCGAAGAAAAAUACGCGACAAUUGUUAAAAUUCUAUAUCUAUAUUAUUUUUUUUUCGAUUAUCCGACAAUUGUAUCGAUUCGAAAGUUGUGAGAGAAACGUGGGACAUGUUACGUGUGCAUUCGAUAGACAGCCGUUUCGCUAUUAUGAUAAGGAAAAAUUUUUCGUACAAUGUAUCGCCAAUAUAAAGGAGAACGAACUCGUAUAUCUGUCAAACUUGUUAAACCCUGUAGAAUGUUUGCAACUUGUACAAGCUAUAUACGAAGUAACUCCGAUGAAAACGGAACGUAGAGUGAAAAAGUAUGAAACUUUGAUGAAUAAAGAUUUCGCUGGAAUGUCGACAUUGUCGAAGGAAUGUCUUCUUAAUCUUGAAGAAUGGAGCCAAGAUUUUCCAACAAAUGCGAGACCAAGCGGAAGGACAACGAUGGAGAUGAUAUUAAGAUGGUUGGGACGACCAGAUUUGGCAAAGUACGUGAGAGAAAAUCGCAGAUCGAGUAUUGACUACUACUACGAUACAGAGAAUUUAGCAGAUACGUUAGAAUUUCCAGGACACAGAGUGUCGAAAAGGCAUACCUCGGAAAAGGAUAAAAAAAAGAAGAAAAACAAAAAAAACAAUAAGAGAAAGCAGAAAAAUUCUAAAACGCAAAAUAAAAAAGUUGGGAAAACAGUUGCAGCAACGGGAGCGCAUGCUAAAGUUAACAAGAAUCAUCACGACUUAAAAAAGAAAGAUAAUCGUCAUUCAAGACAGCCUAAUAACAGUACUAAUAAAUACAUCGCGCACACAUCGAUGUACUGUUCAAUUUUGCUUAUUCUAUUCUUUAUUACCAUUUGCCUUGUCGCUGCCUACUACUUUUACAAGCGAAAUAGUACGAAGGCACGUGGUACGCGAUUCAAGCAUAUGCGGCGACCCAAAGAGGACAAAGAUACCGUCACCGAUUUGGAAUGGAAGGACGAAAUUAUUUGCUCGUGUACGGAUAUGGAGGAGUGUUGCACGGGAGAAUGUUCGUUGUGCAAAGAAAGUGAUUACAAACAACACAUGAUAGAUCGUCGAAGUAGUAGCAGUGACGAGUCUAUCAAAGAAUUGAAUUUUGUGGCGCGUAAUAAACCGAAGAAGAAAGAAAAGAAAAGAAAACGAUUUGCCUUUUUCCAAAACUCUUGUCAAAAUAAGAAGAAGGAAAAGGAACAGGAAAAGGAAUAUCGGGAUAGGAAGUGCGUAAAAAGGAGGAAUCUUGGAAAAUUUUGGAGAAUAUGAUGAAUAUGAAGAAACAUGAAAAACUAUAUCCAAUGGUUCCAAACAAUGUAUGUUGUAAAUGUUGUAAAUGUUCUGUGUAUAUUAGAGAUAAAAUAUUACGUGAAAAGAAAGCGAAAGAAAAGAAAGCGAGGAAAAAGAAAGAAAAGGAAGAAAAGAAAAGGAAAAAGGAAAAAUUGCGAAAAGCAGAAGUACGUCCAAAUAAUGUAUGUUUCAGAGAUACGUGUAAAUAAACUAUUGCUUGAUUUGCUACUUAA